rnacentral:rRNA from 1 species
UACGUAGGGGGCAAGCGUUGUCCGGAAUCAUUGGCGUAAAGCGCGUGUAGGCGGCCCGGUAAGUCCGCUGUGAAAGUCGGGGGCUCAACCCUCGAAUGCCGGUGGAUACUGUCGGGCUAGAGUGCGGAAGAGGCGAGUGGAAUUCCUGGUGAUAGGCGGUGAAAUGACGCAGAUAUCAGGAGGAACACCAAUUGCGAAGGCAGCUCGCUGGGACGUGACUGACGCUGAGACGCGAAAGCGUGGGGGGAGCAAACAGG